UGCUCUGAGUCACCUCUGGGCUCCCUCAGGACCACUUUGUCAAUGUCCAGCUUCCUCAGUCUCCAACCAUGGGGAUCCCAGUGAUUAAUGCCAAAGCCCUGUUGCCUGUGGAGAGGAUGAUGUUUGACUUUCUUGUACAGCUGCAGUUUGUGUGGUGAAGGUGCUCCCACAAUGUGGUUGGAUCCCAGUGAUCAAUGCCAAAGCCCCAUUGCCUGUGGAGAGGGUGAUGUUUGACUUCCUGUACAGCUGCAGUUUGUGUGGUGAAGGUGCUCCCACAAUGUGGUUGGGGAAGAGAUGUUACAGAUUAUUCACUCAGCGACAGAGAAAAGUUGACAAUGUGGACAUUCAGAUGGUAACCUCAGUAUUUGUAACACCAAACUCUGACAGAAUUACUCAAUUCAUCAGGACCUGGAUAUUUGCAUUUAGUUGGCACUGAAAGGGUGGAUUUGUGAAUGAGAAAUUCAAAUUGAGCUUCAUGUUCAGACCUGAUGGUUACUGGAUCCGUGCCGACCUGAAUAUCAUUGGCCUUU